rnacentral:rRNA from 1 species
UGAGUAACACGUAUCCAACCUGCCGUCUACUCUUGGACAGCCUUCUGAAAGGAAGAUUAAUACAAGAUGGCAUCAUGAGUCCGCAUGUUCACAUGAUUAAAGGUAUUCCGGUAGACGAUGGGGAUGCGUUCCAUUAGAUAGUAGGCGGGUAACGGCCCACCUAGUCUUCGAUGGAUAGGGGUUCUGAGAGGAAGGUCCCCCACAUUGGAACUGAGACACGGUCCAA